AGCGGCUCCUGCAAAGAACGAAGUCCGUGAGGUUGCACACAGAGCGACAAACCUUUUUUGGUGGGAUCCCCUCGGGCCAGGGGCAGGACAAGGGGGGAGGCAGAAACUGGUCAUUCUCCAAUAUGCGUUCUUUUGUGUUCUGUUAAACCUCAGAUCCUUCCGCACAAAGAAAACAUUCUGAAGAGCCGAUCAGGAUUUCUGUAGGUCAACAGCAAGCACCAUCCCCUUCUUAACCGCAAGCAAGAAAAAUGAAGCACAUUAUCAAUUCGUAUGAACACACCAACAACACAGCAAGAAAUAACUCUGAUUGUCCUGAUGUAGUUGUGCCAGAAGAGAUAUUUUUCACAAUCUCCAUCAUUGGAGUUUUGGAGAACCUGAUCGUCCUCCUGGCCGUGAUCAAAAAUAAAAAUCUCCAGUCCCCCGUGUACUUUUUCA
rnacentral:lncRNA from 1 species